UAGCAACACUGCGCUUUUACGUAAUGUUAUGAUCUGCAUUGGACGGUACAUUGAUAAAACGGGCCAAGGGCCAAUUUCUAAGCUCAAAUGCCAAACCUAGAGGCAGGAGGAGGAUGAUGGGAUUGCAGCAGUGGCCAGUUGGAAACUGCAUUCAAGUGGAGCUGCAGAAGCCUGAUAGCAGUCCAGCCAGCAUAGAGUGACCAGGGCCAAAAAAACCCUGGCCUUCCCCUGACACAAAACUUCAAAGACGCUGCACCAUUCCGCACCAGAUUGCCAGGCCCCCUCUCUCCGCCACACAUCAGUACCCAGCCUGCUGCCUGCUCCCUGAAGGAUGGACCAACACCUGCUGUUGGCAGGCACUGCCUCCCCCUUCCUUGUUUCCCCAUGCACUGUCUUCAUGAGCACCAGCGCUUCAGGGACUUAGGUUUCUCAGGCUGUAGCUCAACACUGAUCUUGGACAGCGAUGCUACCUAUUAACAUUUAAAUCUAGUGGACGGCUGGAUGUAAGAAGAAUCACUUUACAGGCCAGCAGUGACACUCUUUAGGCCUUAACCCUGGUGUCCAAGUCCAGGCCUGUUCCAGAAGUCACCACCUGAGUCUGACACCAGACCUGAAGGCCUGCGGGGAAGUAACAAGCUGUUUGGACUCUCGUUCUGACGGCACCCAUUCACUGCAGAGGAUCCACUGGUGAGCAAGUGAUGGAAUGCUAAACUUCUCCAAAUCUGUUUCAAAGAAGAAACAAACCAUCUACAUCUUGGAUAGUUAAAGGGACUGAAGAGAUGGGGUGAUGAGUGGGAAGAUGAGUGAAGGUCAAGACAACAGUGCCGAGGAUGCUGCUAGCUGACAUGGGACAUCUCAGUGACAGCUUUGGCUGCCAUUCUUCGCCAUUCUCUGUGAUUAACUAUGAUGUGCCAGGAUGGACAUCACUGAGGCGGGUAUAUUGUAGGGCAAGAGCCCUGCACCAUGCAAACCGCCUAUUGCCUUAAAUGGCAGAAUGGCACCACAUCUUGUUAUGGGGAGAUGCAGCACUGUGGCAUUUGGCAUACCUUAUCAGCAUUUGGCCGCCAUUCAUAGUGUCUGCAGGGCUUUUUUUCUUCCAGCGUCCCAGUUUUCGUACUCAUGCAACAUAGCAAAUCCUUCAAAAGUUGUAUGUUUUUCUUGACUCAGCCAUCAACUUUCCACUAACAAAAUUGAUGAAUGCCUUCAAAUGAUCCAUUAUGAUGUCUUUAAAGAUUUGCGGGUAUAAAUAGCACUGAAGGACACUUCCAGAGAAAGGUUAUCCGCCAACCAGUCAUUAAUCUGUUGCGUGGGGUUAAUUGAGUUUGUUCUCGUGUCAACAUGGUAACAAAAUGACCAUCGCUUUAAAGGCAUUCAUCAACUCCAAUAUUUACAGGAAAAGUUGCCUGGGUGUGAUUAUAAUGAACGUGAAGCUGAUAUAGCACAUCUUGGCCCUGUGUAGAUGCUUGAAGCAGAUGGUCCUCAUGGCCGUAGCUCAAGCCUCCUCUCUUUACCCGACUUUCUUAUCUCUGCCAGGCCCUUAGUCUCAGGCUGUGCGCUUCUGGCACCCGUCACGCACGAUAUUCAGUUUUUCACGCACACAGGCUAUAUCGACCAUAAACACAAACAGAUAUGUGCACAUUGGGACCAGCUGUCCCUUUCGUUUCACCUUCUUACUUUUAUUUGUAUUUUUUCCACACCGUUUUGAAUCGAAUUUUUUCGAACUCGCACCAAUAUAUAAAUCUCCUCUAUAUGAAUAUCAACGGCCGUGUUUUUCCAGACACAUGCAGUGCAGCUCCAGUAAAUUGUUCUGGAUUUCAUUCUCAUUGAUUCCAGACAGGUUUUUUCCAACAAUGGGCGCAUUAUUGGAUGGUUUUCCCUGGCUUCCUCUGGCAAAUUGAAACAUUUUGGACCGCGCUAGGGCAGCCGACCAUGCGGUGUGUUUCUAAUUGGUGGAGCUCAUUUGCAGCAGGUCCCUAUUACUUUCUUUGUUUAGCGUUUGUCUAGCAGGCGAAAUCAAGCGGAAGUUUUCCACAGUGGCAUUAGGCUUCUAUUUCUCUCACAUUAAUGGCUUAUUGGGAAGUAUUUCUGUCAUCGCUUGUCUGCAGUAGUUUAAGCUCUCAUAUCUUUUGAGGACUUGUCUUGGAAUGUAGCAGGCUUAGAGAAUUUCUGCAUGUGACAUUUCAAAGACAUUGUUGAGGUAUCGGUCAUAACAGCCGAGUAAUAUCAAUGCUAACAAGACCACAGAUGACGAGGAACUGUUUAUUUGGCUUCAUGCAAUUCCCUUUACAGUUUAAUAACCUGGAACAUAAUGGCAUCUGCCAACAAUCAGAAGGGAGAAUGCAUGGAAAUAAACACUGCUGCUUCCUGGUUUUGUCAAAUGCUCUCAAGUUUGCUCUGCUAGACAUUUUCUUUUGUCUAGAAUUAGAUUUUCUAGGAUGUUGAAACUAUUUCAGGCCAUGCACAGGAGUAUUAUUCAUACCAGCUGAUCAUUUUAUUUUACUGCAAGAAUUUAACAAAUUAUAUUUUGACAGAAUGAAAACUUUAAAUUUGGCAUGAAAUGAACAUUCACUCUAUCUGUUUUCAUUUUAUUCUUAUUUUUGGACUAUUUUUAAUCAAAAUGUCAAU